rnacentral:rRNA from 1 species
AGCAGCCGCGGUAAUUCCAGCUCCAAUAGCGUAUAUUAAAGUUGUUGCAGUUAAAAAGCUCGUAGUUGAAUUUCGGGGUUAAUAAGUUGGUCGUACCUAUGGUAUGUACUGGCUUUAUUGAUUCCUACCUCUUGACGAACUGUGAUGCCAUUAAUUUGGUGUUGCAAGGAAUCAGGACUGUUACCUUGAAAAAAUUAGAGUGUUUAAAGCAGGCUUACGCUUGAAUACAUUAGCAUGGAAUAAUGAAAUAGGACGUUUGAACCUAUUUUGUUGGUUUCUAGGAUCGACGUAAUGAUUAAUAGGGAUAGUUGGGGGCAUUAGUAUUCAAUUGUCAGAGGUGAAAUUCUUGGAUUUAUUGAAGACUAACUACUGCGAAAGCAUUUGCCAAGGAUGUUUUCAUUAAUCAAGAAUGAAAGUUAGGGGAUCGAAGACGAUCAGAUACCGUCGUAGUCUUAACCAUAAACUAUGCCGACUAGGGAUCGGAUGAUGUUAAUUUUUAAUGACUCAUUCGGCGCCUUAC